rnacentral:rRNA from 1 species
CCAUGAUGAAGUCGUGGCAUUCAGUAACACGUGGCUAACCUACCCUUGAGACGGAGACAACCCCGGGAAACUGACGGCAAUCCCAGAUAUAGAUGAGAACUCCUGGAACGGGUUCUCGUCCAAAGAGCAGGCGUCUAGGUCAUGUACUUCUAGGCGUCGCUCAAGGAUGGGGCCGCGGCCGAUCAGGCUGUUGGUGAGGCAACGGCUACGGCCACCAAACCUUUCGGUACGGGCCGUGGGAGCGGGUGAAGCACGUAGCCCCGGAGGAUGAGACAAGGUCCCAGGCCCUACGGGGCGCAGCCGUUGCGAAAACUCGUCAAUGCACGAAAGUGUGAACGGGCUACCCCGAGUGCUGUCCGCUGAGGAUGUAGCUUUUCUCUGCUGUAAGGAGGCGGAGGAAUAAGGAGAGGGCAAGUUACUGGUGUCAGCCGCCGCGAGCAGUAAUACCAGCUAGUGGUGGAUGUUUAUUGGGCCUAAAGCGUCCGUAGCCUGCCCUUCAAGUCUUUCGUUAAAUCCAACGAUUCAAUCGUUGGACUGCGGGAGAUACUGUUGGGCGGGGGCGGGAGAAGGGCCGACGGUAUUUCCGGGGUAGGGGUAAAAUCCUAUAAUCCCGGGAGGACCACCAGUGGCGUAGGCGGUCGGCUAGCACGUGCUCGACGGUGAGGGACGAAAGGGGGAGCAAACCGGAUUAGAUACCCGGCCCAGCUGUAAACGAUGCGGGCUAGGUGUUGGAGUGGCCACGAGCCGGACUUCAGUGCCGCAGGGAAGCCAUUAAGCCCGCCGCCGGUGGGGGAGUACGGCCGCAAGGCUGGCACUUAGGAAUUGGCGGGGGAGCACCACAAGGGGUGAAGCUUGCGGUUCAAAGCAUGGUGGA